UACGGAGGAUGCAAGCGUUAUCCGGAAUGAUUGGGCGUAAAGCGUCCGCAGGUGGUUUUGUAUGUCUGCUGUUAAAGCGUGCGGCUUAACCGCAUAAGGGCGGUGGAAACUACAAGACUAGAGUACGUUCGGGGCAGAGGGAAUUCCCAGUGUAGCGGUGAAAUGCGUAGAGAUUGGGAAGAACAUCGGUGGCGAAGGCGCUCUGCUAGGCCUGUACUGACACUGAGGGACGAAAGCUAGGGGAGCGAAUGGG
rnacentral:rRNA from 1 species